AUCAAACGUAUUUCACCAUUACAUUAAUGCAAUGACAUUACCAUUCCCCUAAAUCCACGCUGAUUACAGCUUGCGGGGAAGGGACAGAGGAGGCAGCCCACUGAAGAGCGCGUUUUAUUGUAACUAACCAGGCUCGCACAUUUCUCCCCUCCCACUCACUGGAAAAGCAGCUCUUUAUGAAGUCUGAAGCAUAAUUAGCCUGGUUUUGUUUAAAUCUGCAUCGCCGCACAGCCUGGCCCGAAGGAGCUCAUCAGCCGCCCUGUGCCCAUAUCCAGGGUGUUUAAAAGGCUGCUGGCCUCGAGAAGUCCAACUUUGGAAAGGAGAAAUAACCAACUAACGCCGCUGCGCA